CGCACAUUGCGCCCGCUGGAAUUCCAGCGGGCAUGCCUGUUCGAGCGUCAUUUCACCCCUCAAGCCUAGCUUGGUGUUGGAGCACUACCGCUUUUCGAAGUGGUAGGCUCUGAAAUUCAGUGGCGGGCUCGCUAAGACUCUGAGCGUAGUAGUUUAUCACCUCGCUUUGGAAGGAUUAGCGGUGCUCUUGCCGUAAAACCCCCCAACUUCUGAAUUUUGACCUCGGAUCAGGUAGGAAUACCCGCUGAACUUAA
rnacentral:misc_RNA from 1 species